UACGUAGGGGGCGAGCGUUAUCCGGAUUUACUGGGUGUAAAGGGAGCGUAGACGGCGCAGCAAGUCUGAUGUGAAAGGCAGGGGCUUAACCCCUGGACUGCAUUGGAAACUGUUGAGCUUGAGUGCCGGAGGGGUAAGCGGAAUUCCUAGUGUAGCGGUGAAAUGCGUAGAUAUUAGGAGGAACACCAGUGGCGAAGGCGGCUUACUGGACGGUAACUGACGUUGAGGCUCGAAAGCGUGGGGAGCAAACAGG
rnacentral:rRNA from 1 species